rnacentral:sRNA from 18 species
CUGUAAAGUGACUUUAUAAACCACACACGUACCGGCACAUGCUCCGGGGUGCCCGAAAGGGUCGGAACAUGGGGUGCGUGGAGGCUUAAC